rnacentral:rRNA from 1 species
UGGGGAAUUUUGGACAAUGGGCGCAAGCCUGAUCCAGCCAUGCCGCGUGAGUGAAGAAGGCCUUCGGGUUGUAAAGCUCUUUCGGACGGGAAGAAAUGGCGGGCUCUAACAUAGCCUGUCGAUGACGGUACCGUAAGAAGAAGCACCGGCUAACUACGUGCCAGCAGCCGCGGUAAUACGUAGGGGGCAAGCGUUGUCCGGAUUUACUGGGUGUAAAGGGCGCGCAGGCGGAAUGGAAAGUCAGUGGUGAGAUCCUACAGCUUAACUGUAGAACUGCCUUUGAUACUUUCAUUCUUGAGUUCGGGAGAGAGACGGAAUUCCAGGUGUAGUGGUGAAAUACGUAGAUAUCUGGAAGAACACCUGUUGCGAAGGCGGUCUCUUGGUCCGAUACUGACGCUGAGGCGCGAAAGCGUGGGGAGCAAACA